rnacentral:miRNA from 1 species
GGGCAAGCCUGCGGAGGUGUGG